AAGGUUUCCGUAGGUGAACCUGCGGAAGGAUCAUUAUCGAAUUAANCAAGGCGAAAGGUUGUGCUGGCCCCUCGGGGCAUGUGAACGCCCGAGCCGAUUUUAAUCCAAACCAACACCUGUGAACCUACCGUAGGGCGCUCCUUUGAGCGUCGGUAUUUCUUAUCAUAAACACUGUAUGUCGAUAGAAUGUAAAUCAAAUAUCUUCGCCCUGAAAAAGCGUUGGUAAACUUUAUACAACUUUCACCAACGGAUCUCUUGGCUCUCGCAUCGAUGAAGAACGCAGCGAAAUGCGAUAAGUAAUGUGAAUUGCAGAUUUUCAGUGAAUCAUCGAAUCUUUGAACGCACCUUGCGCUCCUUGGUAUUCCGAGGAGCAUGCCUGUUUGAGUGUCAUUAAAUUUCUCAACGCCGAUUCGAUUUGGUUUUUACCAUGUCGUUUUGGACGCUUGGAUUUUGGAGCGUGCUGGCCCUUGCCCGGGUCGGCUCCUCUUAAAAGCAUUGGCGGAAUUACGUUGGUCUCUUCGGUCAUCAGCGNGAUAAUUAUGUUACGCUGUCGGCCUAGAUCAAAGUCCGCUUAUAAUGGUCUUUGGACAAAAUUUAACAACCAAAAAUUUCUU
rnacentral:rRNA from 1 species